UGUUAACUUGGCUGACGUGUUGGUUGGAGUAUCUGGUACGAGUACUCCCAGGUUGAAAAGGAGUCACGUCGCAGCUGGCAAGUCGUCAAGAAAACUGUCCAGCCUCCAGAUUUGUGUGAUCCUCCCAACGUGAUCCUGUGUUUCCUCUGUUCUCCCUGGUAGAUUUCUGCAGGAAGCCUUUAACAAUGGGACCCCUCCAGAGGGUCUGAAACCCAGCUAUGAUAUCGGAGCCAGUGUCUCCUAUUGGUUUACUACCCAGGAGCUGUGAUCAG